rnacentral:rRNA from 1 species
AUUGAACGCUGGCGGCAGGCCUAACACAUGCAAGUCGAGCGGGGUUUUCGGACCUAGCGGCGGACGGGUGAGUAAUGCGUAGGAAGCUGCCCGAUAGAGGGGGAUACCAGUUGGAAACGACUGUUAAUACCGCAUAAUGUCUACGGACCAAAGUGUGGGACCUUCGGGCCACGUGCUAUCGGAUGCGCCUACGUGGGAUU